rnacentral:rRNA from 1 species
GCAGGGUAUAGACCCGAAACCCGGUGAUCUAGCCAUGGGCAGGUUGAAGGUUGGGUAACACUAACUGGAGGACCGAACCGACUAAUGUUGAAAAAUUAGCGGAUGACCUGUGGCUGGGGGUGAAAGGCCAAUCAAACCGGGAGAUAGCUGGUUCUCCCCGAAAGCUAUUUAGGUAGCGCCUCGUGAAUUCAUCUCCGGGGGUAGAGCACUGUUUCGGCUAGGGGGCCAUCCCGGCUUACCAACCCGAUGCAAACUGCGAAUACCGGAGAAUGUUAUCACGGGAGACACACGGCGGGUGCUAACGUCCGUCGUGAAGAGGGAAACAACCCAGACCGCCAGCUAAGGUCCCAAAGUCAUGGUUAAGUGGGAAACGAUGUGGGAAGGCCCAGACAGCCAGGAUGUUGGCUUAGAAGCAGCCAUCAUUUAAAGAAAGCGUAAUAGCUCACUGGUCGAGUCGGCCUGCGCGGAAGAUGUAACGGGGCUAAACCAUGCACCGAAGCUGCGGCAGCGACACUCAGGUGUUGUUGGGUAGGGGAGCGUUCUGUAAGCCUGCGAAGGUGGCCUGUGAGGGUUGCUGGAGGUAUCAGAAGUGCGAAUGCUGACAUAAGUAACGAUAAAGCGGGUGAAAAGCCCGCUCGCCGGAAGACCAAGGGUUCCUGUCCAACGUUAAUCGGGGCAGGGUGAGUCGACCCCUAAGGCGAGGCCGAAAGGCGUAGUCGAUGGGAAACGGGUUAAUAUUCCCGUACUUGGUGUUACUGCGAAGGGGGGACGGAGAAGGCUAUGUUGGCCGGGCGACGGUUGUCCCGGUUUAAGCGUGUAGGUGUGUGUUCCAGGUAAAUCCGGUU